AUUGAACGCUGGCGGCAGGCCUAACACAUGCAAGUCGAGCGAGGGGCGGGCGGGUGAGUAAUGUCUGGGAAACUGGCUGAUGGAGGGGGAUAACUGCUGGAAACGGUAGCUCAUACUGCAUCCCAUCAGAUGUGCCCCGAGGUGAUUAGCUAGUAGGUGGGGUAACGGCUCACCAAGGCGACGAUCCUUAGCUGGUCUGAGAGGAUGAUCAGCCACACUGGAACUGAGACACGGUCCAGACUCCUACGGGAGGCAGCAGUGGGGAAUAUUGGACAAUGGGCGAAAGCCUGAUGCAGCCAUGCCGCGUGUGUGAAGAAGGCCUUCGGGUUGUAAAGCACUUUAAGCGGGGAGGCGUUACCCGCAGAAGAAGCACCGGCUAACUCCGUGCCAGCAGCCGCGGUAAUUC
rnacentral:rRNA from 1 species